GUCGAAGGUGGGGCUGAUGACUGGGGUGAAGUCGUAACAAGGUAUCCGUACCGGAAGGUGCGGAUGGAUCACCUCCUAACAGGGAGACAAAACAAUGAUUUUGAUGUCUGAGUAUUUCAUUCUUAGGCCGAAAUCCUGUCACCUUAGGUCGAUCGGUACCUCAACAUUUUUCCAAAGAUUGGUGAGCAAUCAUCAUGAGAUUGGAAGUGAUGUUCAGUUCCUAAACUUUGUCUAGGUCACACCCCGCAAGGGAAGAGUCCCCUGGGCCAUUAGCUCAGGUGGUUAGAGCGCACCCCUGAUAAGGGUGAGGUCCCUGGUUCAAGUCCAGGAUGGCCCAUUCGAUGUUGGGGGUUUAGCUCAGUUGGUAGAGCGCCUGCUUUGCAAGCAGGAUGUCAGGAGUUCGAGUCUCCUAACCUCCACUGACAGAACUCAAUCUCCAUUGUCCGGUAACUCGGAGGAUGAACUCGAUGGCGUGUGAUUUAGAUGUGUCCACUAGAUAGGACCCUAGCUUCCUGUCAUUCCGAACAAGUAAUUCUUGCUUGAUUGGUUGAUAUGAUGCUGGGCUCAGAUUAAUCGAAAGAUUAAUUUGAUCUCUAGUAGAACCUUGACAACUGCAUAAGUAAGUCUGGAAAAACGAAGCAUCUUACAGAUGCAUUGUUUUAAGUCUGAAUUCUCGAAAGAGAGUUUAGACCUAGAAUGAUGAAAAUUCUUUUAAGCAAGAGCCGAGACUCUUAGAUGUUCUUUUUAUUGUGUCGAGCGAUAAAGAGUUUGAUUUUGUUUUUAUGAGCAGCGAAAAAGUUGCUGAUGAAAACAGAAGAAUCUGCUUUCAACCGCAGUAAGCGUUUAAGAGGUUAAUUGGUCAAGCUACAAAGGGCUCACGGC
rnacentral:misc_RNA from 1 species